AAUCAAGUGCCUUAAGGGUGUUCGGUGGAUGCCUUGGCGCUGAGAGGCGAUGAAGGACGUGCUACGCUGCGAUAAGCCGUGGGGAGCUGCGAAGAAGCUUUGAUCCGCGGAUUUCCGAAUGGGGAAACCCACCUUCGAUAGCCGGAACUCCAAGACCUUUGUCGAAAGACAUCGGUGUGGGGUUCGACCAGAUAAUGGAAGAAGCCAGGCCUUUAGAUUUCGAUCGAAGAGGUUUUGGAUUUCCGGUUAUCAAGAGAAGGUAUGAGACUUCUGAAUACAUAGGAGGUUUCAAGCAAACCCAGGGAACUGAAACAUCUAAGUACCUGGAGGAAAGGACAUCAACAGAGACUCCGUUAGUAGUGGCGAGCGAACGCGGACCAGGCC
rnacentral:rRNA from 1 species